CCAUUCUCGUGGAGGCCCCUGCAGAGCCCGGGGCCUGGGGCAAAUUGAUCCACUUGCCCCCGCCCCUGGGUGGCCCUGCCCAAACCCCUGCCCCAGCCCAGUGAAAGUGAGUGAUCAGCAAGUGUUCUGUUAAGGUAGAGUACUGCAGUGCACAAGGACCAGCUGUUUGAGUUUGAAGAGGAAAAUUCUUAAAAUUCUUCUUCAUCAUCAGGCCUGCUCAUAUGAUCAAUGCAGAGAGGAAGACUGAAGGGAUAGCAUGUUGGGCAAGAAGCUCAAGGAGCUAAGGAGUUUGAAGGUCCUGUCCAUUCCAAAGCCUCUGCAGACCCUUUCAUCCGAACAGAAGAAUCAUCAGUAGCUCAAAGUGAACUUCAGAAUGUUUUUUUCCAGCUUACGGAUUUUUCCAUGGAAGC